GAACAAAGACCCUCCGGUCUCGCAUGGUUCUGAACACAUAGUAAAUGCUGAAUUACUAUUUCCUAAAUUAUCAUAAAGCUGAGAAGAAUCAUGAUUCUCAAACUUCACCUUGGAAUUAAAAUGGAUUUCCUUGAGAAGCACAUAUGAGGUAAGCAGACCUCUCCUGUGAUGUUCUGGAUAUGCCUGUCUCAACAGAUUUCAGGGUGGCCGUCUUCUCUGCAAAUUCAGUUCUCUGAUGUGUCCAAGCUGAAGAAGCAAUUCAUCACUCCAUCAACUGGUUUUACUGAAUCG
rnacentral:lncRNA from 1 species